rnacentral:lncRNA from 1 species
AAGGGACUGGGGUCCAGACUCUUGGGAAUAAAAAGCCUAGGUGGCUGGGGUGAGAGCUGUUUCUUUUCUAAGCCUCUAAGUGAAAUAUCAAGCCAGUUCAGGUCAGAUCCUGAGUAGCACAAGUUAAAACAAGAUCCGGAAAAUCCAUCAAUCUUCAGUUGUGACGUUUCCAGAGACUCACGAGAGGUGGGGUGGGGAAAGACUGGGAUUGAUGCGGGGAGCCGAGGCACCGAAACCCGAGCUCCGGACCUCAGCAGUUCCUUACCUCGCUCAGCUCGGCUGAGGAGUCGUUGCCAUAUUUCACCGCAACUCCAGAAUUCAUGCCUGCACUUUUCAGAGCCGGGCUCGUCCCCAGACCUCGGAGCGUAGGAGCCGGGCUUAGGCUGGAUAGCCUGGGCUUGCUCCCCGCCGGCACAUUUCAGUCUAGACAGCCAUUUUCACCCAGGACAGCAGCGAGGCCAGAAAGGAUGGAGAAGCUCGAUACCGUAAGUCAGGCUGGAAUCUCACCAGCGAGCCAUAGCUGCAGGAGACUGGGCAGAGGGUUGCGCUCGCAGCAGCUGCAGCGGCCGAGCCGGCGCCGGGACCCACCCGCGCGUCCACCGCGGAGUCCCGGAGUGAUGCCACCCUCCGCGCCGCCUCGCCCCUCCUAUGGUACCACGCAGAUCCCCAUUACCCGGCAGGCGGGCAGUUCGCGCCGGCGCCCAGCAGAGCUCGGGUAUCCUCCGGGAGAAGCCUGGGCACCAGUGCGAGAACGAUAUGUGCCUCCGGUUCCCGGGAGGAAAGAGCUGGAGAGAGCCGGAGCUGAGCAGCACUUCACGCCGAAGUUUCCCCCUUUGAAUCGUCUGGAGUUCUCUCUCUCUGCUUCCUGACCAUCAUGACAUGACCAGUCUCCUCUUCCUGCACAAGGUUCUGUUGCCAUGAUCUUCUGUCUUUCCCUGGGCUCAGAACCAGCAGAGCCCAUGAUCAUGGAUGGACUGGGAUCCCUGAAACAGUGAGCCUAAGUCCUUUCCCCAUACUUGUUUCUGCCAGACAGUUUUGUCACAGGGAAAAAUAAGUCACUAUGCUUCUGUUGUAACAGUCAAUAAACAGUUGCCUAAUGUAAGAUCACAUAGCUUUUUGUCCUCCUAAUGGCCUUACCGUGUUGCAUUUUAUGACGAGGAUAGUGAUCCAUGUUGAAUUACAUUUUUAGGGUCCGUGUGUGUGUGUGUGUGUGUGUGUGUGUGUGUGUGUGUGUGCAUGUCUGUGUGUCUCUGCCUGUCUGUUAGCACUGCUGUGGCUCAAACCCAGGGCCUUGUGCAUGGUAGCCUACUCUCUGUCUUUGAAAUAUAUUCUCAGCUCCC